rnacentral:rRNA from 1 species
AUGAAGGUGCACUCGCCGUCUCACAAACACAUCGAUGUUCACACGAAAGACCUGAUUAGGCAGCUAAGGGAAAACAAUGUCAUCCUUGGUAAGGUGUAUAGCAUAAUUGGAAGUUUCUUUGGCUCGGUUGAGAAGGUACAGUUCACCAAGAGGACGCUCAGGAACAUAUGCGGCAAGAUAAGCCGUAGGCAAGCUGACUUGUACUCAAGAAAUAUGUACUCAGAAUCAAAUGUGGUAAUUGUGUAA